GCAAGUCGAACGAAAGCUUUAUGCUUUAGUGGCUAACGGGUGCGUAAUACGUGAGAAUCUGCCCUUAGGAGGAGAAUAACUUCUGGAAACGGUUGCUAAGUCUCCAUAUGCCGAGAGGUAAAAUAGUUUACACUGCCUAGGGAUGAGCUCGCGCCUGAUUAGCUUGUUGGUAAGGUAAUGGCUUACCAAGGCAACGAUUAGUAGCUGGUUUGAGAGAGCGAUC
rnacentral:rRNA from 1 species